UCUUUGAACAAAAACAGGUUAAAAGCCUCUAUUGGUUCAUUAUCCUGCAAAAUUCUGUGUGGCAAAUCACUUCAAAAGUCAGUGGCUUAAACCACCCUCAUUUAUUCUCACUCAAAUGCUUGUGUACAGUGAGUAAUUCUGCUGAUCUCCGCUGGUCUUGGCUGAACUCUUCUCCAGGACAUGGAUUCGGGUCAGAUCUCUCCUGUGUCACUCAUCCUUCUGGGUCUAGUAAGCCACUUGAGGAUUAAAACUCAUCUGUGGAAUCAAGACUUCCCUGUAAUCACAUCCAACCAGACUUCAAUCAAAACUCAGGCAUAUGAAAGCCUCUUAGUUUCAGAUGUAUUUAAAAAACAUUUCCUUUCACUCUCUGAAUCUUCUUGAAGAAUAAACUUUGUGUCUUUUUGAAA